AUGUCAUGUUGCAAGACAAUAAAAGAACCGGCUGAAGAGAGGCAUAUAGAUGCAUGCGUAUUAAUUGGCUACAAUCUUGAUGGCAUGCAGCUUUGUAAACUUCUAUAUAGAACAAAUUUGGUAGCUAAAUUAACAACCAAGAGUACAGUGCCGAUCCAUAUCAUCCAAUAUAUGCUAGCUAGCUGCACUAGCGAACAAGUCCACUCCAAAUUGAGACGACGUAAAUCAUGUUUGGGAGCUAUAGCUGCUAGUGGACGCAUGGGAGUAUACUGUCCCACCACAACCAGCUUAAUUUGGAAAAGGCAAACAAGUUUAUUAGAACCAAGCUUCUACGAUUAUACAAGUGAACACCUAUAA
rnacentral:rRNA from 1 species